rnacentral:lncRNA from 1 species
GGGGCUGCUGCCCUCAACCUGGGGCAGGGGGGCAGGCAGGCAGGAGGUGUUUUUUGGGCAGAACGAGGUGAACUGGUGGCAAGCACAGCAUCAUGGCUCAGGAGCUGUGCAGAGAGGGAAAGGAGGAGGAGGGAAAGCACGCAGAGGCUGUGGAGCUGAGAACAGCUAUUAGUCACCGCAGAGGAGAAAAUGGCAGGAGCAGGUGGAACAGCAGGGCAGCCAGAAUCUGCUCCAGCACGCGGGGAGCAGGCAAUGGGACCUGGGUCUGCCUGUGGGGCCGAUGGCCUUGUCCCCUCCUGGUGUUUCACUGUGGCCCUGGGGGCACUUCCCCAGCCAGCCCCCUGCCUCGUGGGCUGUGACAGCCCAUGCAGGACAUGGGAUAAAGCAGCGGACCCGUUUUCUCCACAUUUCGCUAAAAGCUGUUUGCUUUUUUUUGCUUAAAUGACUACAGUGUUUGCUCUAGGGGUUCUGAAGCACCCAGCCAAAUUUCCUGUGUUGACGAGGAGCAAACAGUCCGGCAGAACGGGAGUUCCCUGCAACAAGCGAUGUUUGCAGAGAAAAUCCAGAGGCGUUCAGUGUGCUCCGAGCUGUUGCUUCAUUGAGAGCGAGCACUGACAGUGCUUGUUCUGUGUCAUGAUAAACCCCACCUAAGAGAGCUAUAGCAUCCUGGGAUGACUGGAGGAGGGAAUGCAAACUGAUAGGCAAGCUGCUGCUAAAAGGCAUGUGACACCGGUUUCAGCAUGAGACCAGCUGUCUUUAAUUUAAAUCACAACAGGUUGAGUAGAGGAGUCCAUCAAGGAGGAACGAGCUAUUCCUAUGGCGACCAGGCUGCAGGAAUCGCUGCGGUUUGCGGGGCGAUGCAGACAGAACUGAAGCCCGGGGAGCAUCCCCUCCUGACAAACAGGCUCCUGGUGCUGCUGACUCAUCAAGUGGUCAAGCGAGUACAGAAACAGCAGCCCGACGUCAGUGAUGAGCUGGAGGAGGAUGAGGCAGGAGCUGGAGGAGGAGCAGUGGGUGAGACGAAGGCUGACCCAGAGGGACAAAAAUUCCGGUGCCUCGGCCCAAAGCUGCUGGUGCCAAGGCGGUGCCCCAGCAGGGACGGAGCACCCAAGCCUGGGCUCCCGCAGGUCUGACCCCGUACGUGAUGGUGACGCUGGGGCAGCCCCCUCUUUGCUUGCUGUUGAACACGUACGUGCGGGAGAAACUGCAAGUACUGCCUUCCACCGGCGUCAGCACAUAAA